GACGAACGCUGGCGGCGUGCUUAACACAUGCAAGUCGAACGGUGAAGCGCCUUCCUUUUUGGUGGGUGUGGAUGAGUGGCGAACGGGUGAGUAACACGUGAGUAACCUGCCCCCUUCUUCUGGAUAACCGCAAGAAAGUGUGGCUAAUACGGGAUAUUCUGGGUCUGUCGCAUGAUGGGUCUGGGAAAGAUAUUGUUUCGGUGGGGGAUGGGCUCGCGGCCUAUCAGCUUGUUGGUGGGGUGAUGGCCUACCAAGGCGGUGACGGGUAGCCGGCCUGAGAGGGUGGACGGUCACACUGGGACUGAGACACGGCCCAGACUCCUACGGGAGGCAGCAGUGGGGAAUAUUGCACAAUGGGCGCAAGCCUGAUGCAGCGACGCCGCGUGAGGGAUGGAGGCCUUCGGGUUGUGAACCUCUUUCGCCAGUGAAGCAGGCCUGCCUCGUUUGUGGGUGGGUUGACGGUAGCUGGAUAAGAAGCGCCGGCUAACUACGUG
rnacentral:rRNA from 1 species